UGGGGAAUAUUGCACAAUGGGCGAAAGCCUGAUGCAGCAACGCCGCGUGAGUGAUGAAGGCCUUCGGGUUGUAAAGCUCUGUCUUUUGGGACGAUAAUGACGGUACCAAAGGAGGAAGCCACGGCUAACUACGUGCCAGCAGCCGCGGUAAUACGUAGGUGGCAAGCGUUGUCCGGAUUUACUGGGCGUAAAGGAUGCGUAGGCGGAUUUUUAAGUGAGAUGUGAAAACCCUAAGCUUAACUUGGGGACUGCAUUUCAUACUGGAAAUCUAGAGUGCGGGAGAGGAGAAUGGAAUUCCUAGUGUAGCGGUGAAAUGCGUAGAGAUUAGGAAGAACACCAGUGGCGAAGGCGAUUCUCUGGACCGUAACUGACGCUGAGGCAUGAAAGCGUGGGUAGCAAACAGGAUUAGAUACCCUGGUAGUCCACGCCGUAAACGAUGAGUACUAGGUGUAGGAGGUAUCGACCCCUUCUGUGCCGCAGUUAACACAAUAAGUACUCCGCCUGGGAAGUACGAUCGCAAGAUUAAAAACUUAAAUGAAUUGAC
rnacentral:rRNA from 1 species